AACGAACGCUGGCGGCAUGCCUAACACAUGCAAGUCGAACGAGACCUUCGGGUCUAGUGGCGCACGGGUGCGUAACGCGUGGGAACCUGCCCUUAGGUUCGGAAUAACUCCCCGAAAGGGGUGCUAAUACCGGAUAAUGUCUUCGGACCAAAGAUUUAUCGCCUUUGGAUGGGCCCGCGUUGGAUUAGCUAGUUGGUAGGGUAAAAGCCUACCAAGGCGACGAUCCAUAGCUGGUCUGAGAGGAUGAUCAGCCACACUGGGACUGAGACACGGCCCAGACUCCUACGGGAGGCAGCAGUGGGGAAUAUUGGACAACGGGCGAAAGCCUGAGCCAGCAAUGCCGCGUGAGUGAUGAAGGCCUGAGGGUUGUAAAGCUCUUUUACCCGGGAUGAUAAUGACAGUACCGGGAGAAUAAGCUCCGGCUAACUCCGUG
rnacentral:rRNA from 1 species